rnacentral:ncRNA from 1 species
AGAAAACCAAUGAAGAAGAGAGUAACAAUGGAGCGCUGCACCAGCAAGCCGGGAUGAUGGAAGCCGGCACAGGCGAAAUUGCGAACCGCACUUCGAAGGUGAAGAUCUGAAAUGAGUAGGAUUUUCCGGGAACUCCCGUUACAGAGUCUUAAGCAGAUUCCUUGUUUUACACUUUUAAGUAAAACGUAUGGGAAUAACUAGAGUGGUACCGCGGGUAUUGUGAUCAACGCUCGUCUCUUUU